GUCGAGCGAACGGACGAGAAGCUUGCUUCUUUGAUGUUAGCGGCGGACGGGUGAGUAACACGUGGAUAACCUACCUAUAAGACUGGGAUAACUUCGGGAAACCGGAGCUAAUACCGGAUAAUAUUUUGAACCGCAUGGUUCAAAAGUGAAAGACGGUCUUGCUGUCACUUAUAGAUGGAUCCGCGCUGCAUUAGCUAGUUGGUAAGGUAACGGCUUACCAAGGCAACGAUGCAUAGCCGACCUGAGAGGGUGAUCGGCCACACUGGAACUGAGACACGGUCCAGACUCCUACGGGAGGCAGCAGUAGGGAAUCUUCCGCAAUGGGCGAAAGCCUGACGGAGCAACGCCGCGUGAGUGAUGAAGGUCUUCGGAUCGUAAAACUCUGUUAUUAGGGAAGAACAUAUGUGUAAGUAACUGUGCACAUCUUGACGGUACCUAAUCAGAAAGCCACGGCUAACUACGUGCCAGCAGCCGCGGUAAUACGUAGGUGGCAAGCGUUAUCCGGAAUUAUUGGGCGUAAAGCGCGCGUAGGCGGUUUUUUAAGUCUGAUGUGAAAGCCCACGGCUCAACCGUGGAGGGUCAUUGGAAACUGGAAAACUUGAGUGCAGAAGAGGAAAGUGGAAUUCCAUGUGUAGCGGUGAAAUGCGCAGAGAUAUGGAGGAACACCAGUGGCGAAGGCGACUUUCUGGUCUGUAACUGACGCUGAUGUGCGAAAGCGUGGGGAUCAAACAGGAUUAGAUACCCUGGUAGUCCACGCCGUAAACGAUGAGUGCUAAGUGUUAGGGGGUUUGCGCCCCUUAGUGCUGCAGCUAACGC
rnacentral:rRNA from 1 species